AGUCUAUUAGUAAACAGUACUCGAACUUUGUCGAGAAUGCUCAAAUUGGACAACAGAGACUAUUGUCUCAAAUUGAAGAACUUAACAAAGAAA